UUGUCUGGAUGCCUUUUGGCCGGCUGUCUCCUUGGGCAUCUAUUUUUAUUUAUUUAUUUAUUUUUUAAUUUUUUUACUUAUUUAUUAUUUUUUUUGAGACGGAGUCUCGCUCUGUCGUCCAGGUUGGAGUGCAGUGGCGCAAUCUCGGCUCACUGCAAGCUCCGCCUCCCGGGUUCACGCCAUUCUCCUGCCUCAGCCUCUCAGAGUAGCUGGGACUACAGGCGCCCGCCCCCACGCCCGGCUAAUUUUUUUGUAUUUUUAGUAGAGACAGGGUUUCACCGUGGUUUCGAUCUCCUGACCUCGUGAUCCGCCCGCCUCGGCCUCCCAAAGUGCUGGGAUUACAAGCGUGAGCCACUGCGCCUGGCCGGGCAUCUAUUUUUAAUACUUUUCACACAGUUAGAAUGUUAGAUCCAGAAGGGAUCUUCAAGGUCAUCUGAUCCAAUCCACUCAUUUUACAAAGGAGGAUAAAGCCCAGAGAAGAACUGAAGGAUUUAUUUCCCCACCUGUUGGAAGGCUGCUGGUUGACAGUUACAAGCUUGAGAGAGCUGCCUUGCCCAAGCUGUGCACAGUGACUCAUGCCUAUAAUCCAGCACUUUGGGAGGCCAAGACCAGUGAAUCACUGAGGUCAGGAGUUCAAGACCGGCCUGGCCACCAUGGUGAAAUUCCGUUUCUACUAAAAAUAUGAAAAUUAGCCAGGCGUGGUGGUGGGUGCCUGCAAUCCCAGCUACUCAGGAGGCUGAGGCAGGAGAAUCGCUUGAACUGGGAGGCAGAGGUUGCAGUGAGCAGAGAUUGCGCCAUUGCACUCCAGCCUGGGCAACAGAAUGAAUUCUGUCUCAAAAAAAAAAAAAAUUGUAAUCCCCUGUGUUGGAGGUGGGGCCUGGUGGGAGGUGAUUGGAUCACGGGGGUGGUUUCUCAAGGUUUAGAACCAUCCCCCUAGCGCUGUCAUCAGCAGGAGUGAGUUCUCAUGAGAUCUGGUUGUUUAAAAGUGUGUGGGACCUCCCCUGUCUCACUCUUUCUCCUGCUCCUGCCACGUAAGAUGCCUCCUCCUGCUUUGCCCUCUGCCAUGAUGGAAAGCUCCUUGAGGCCGCCCCAGAAGCAGAUGCCAUUAUGUUUCCUGUACAGCCUGCAGAACUGUGAGCCAAUUAAACCUCUUUUCUUUAUAAAUUACCCAGCCUCAGGUAUUUCUUUACAACCAAUCUGAAGCAUCAUGGCAGCUUCAGGGAGUCCUAUGGGGUCAGUGGAGACCUCACUGAGACUGCAUUCCAGCCCAACUUCUUCCCUUGCCCCGCAUCUGCCCCUUUUCUCUCCUUUUCCUUUUAUUUCCUUCCCUUCCCAGGUGCUGAUCCUGAAAGUCCUCUCCAGUCAACGCUCUACAUGCUAAUCUCAGAAUCAGCUUCUCUAAAAAUCGAACUGCAAGAGGCAUUCAAGCAAUUUUUUGCCUCCUAAGACACUUUUCUUCUCCACAGCUGCUAAAUUGAUCAAGACUCGUAAUUUUUCGAAGAAAAUUUCUGAAAAUCAAGGAAUCCAGUGAAUGCAUAUUUGAAUUCAAGUCACUUUUUCACAUGUGUGUAAAACCUUCACAAUUCUAUGGGAAGACAGAAUUCAAAAUAAGACCCUGAAGUUUUGGUAGGGGAAGCAGAUAAGCUGUUAUAUAAACUGUGGGAGAGCUUCGAGCAUUGCAAACAGGUGCUCAGUAAAUUACUGUUGAGCUGGAUAAAAACAAUUUUCUUUCUUUCUUUUUUUAGAGACAGGGUCUCUCUCUGUCACUCAGGCUGGAGUACAGUGGUGCAACCGUGGCUUACCCCAACCUCCAACUCCUGGGCUCAAGCGAUCCUCCUGCUUCAGCCUCCCAAGUAGCUGGGACCAUAGGCAUGCACCAUCAUGCCAGGCUAAUAUUUUAUUUUACUUUUUUUUUUUUUUAUAAAGAUGAGGUUGCACUAUGUUGCCCAGGCUGGUCUUAACCUCUUGGCCUCAAGCGAUCCACUGGCCUCACCCUCCCAAAGUGCUGGGAUUACAGACCUGAGCCACUGUGCCUGGCCCCCAAAAUUUUUUCAACAGAUUUGUUUGGUGUUCAUGGCUAGAUGAAGGCUGAAUCGCUCUCUCUCCCUCUUUCUCUGCCUUUCCUUUUGUUUCUCCUGGUCCCUCUAUUUUUUUCUCAUUCUCUUUCCUCUUUCCUCAUUUCCUUUAUCAUUUUCCUUUUUCAGUCUCUCUCUAUUUUAUUUCUCACUAUUCCAAUCUACCUUGGCCCUUCUGUUCCUCU